AUUGAACGCUGGCGGCAUGCUUUACACAUGCAAGUCGAACGGCAGCACGGGUGCUUGCACCUGGUGGCGAGUGGCGGACGGGUGAGUAAUGCAUCGGAACGUGUCCUAAAGUGGGGGAUAACGCAUCGAAAGAUGUGCUAAUACCGCAUAUUCUCUGAGGAGGAAAGUAGGGGAUCGAAAGACCUUAUGCUUUUGGAGCGGCCGAUGUCUGAUUAGCUAGUUGGUAAGGUAAUGGCUUACCAAGGCGACGAUCAGUAGUUGGUCUGAGAGGACGACCAGCCACACUGGGACUGAGACACGGCCCAGACUCCUACGGGAGGCAGCAGUGGGGGAAUUUUGGACAAUGGGCGCAAGCCUGAUCCAGCAAUGCCGCGUGAGUGAAGAAGGCCUCGGUGUAAGCUCUUCAGUUGAAGAAAAGUACGU
rnacentral:rRNA from 1 species